UGAUGGGUCAAAAUGCCCUGGCUGCUGUUUUCACUGUUCCCGUGGCCCACUGGAAAAAGAAGCUGAAAUACCGGAUGUAGGUUGUCUAAUGGACCUGGAAAGACGGAGGAAGCUGGACUUAGGAUCCAUUUCUGCCUGUCUCCAAAGCCCUGCCUAUACCAAACAUCAGGCCACAGCCCUGUCUCCGUGCUGACUGCCUUUCUGCACUUCCUGCCAGCCACCCUCAUGUCUGGACUUCUGGGUUUGUGUUCUUUGGGGCUGUUGAUGGACCACCAGGAGGUCCCUGGGUAUCCUUUCAGUGUUUCCCAGGCACUAGAGGAUGACUUGGGAUGGCAUCCCAGGUUCUGACACAUACUUAGAAAAUUCUGCACAGGCAGCAGCAGGUAGGCACCGAUGUUGAAAUGAAUUCUUUCCAAGCUGACGGCCAAGAAGGAAUUCUUGAGAUGUUUUUGGUGCAAAAAAAAAGUGGUUUUGUUAAAGCAUGGGAACAGAACCUGUGGGCAGAAAGCACUGCACUGAGAUUAUGAAGACUGACUACUAGAAGGUUUUCCAUCCUGUAGAGGGGAGGGUGACCUUAAGGCUCCAGGAAAUUGAGCCUAUAGGUUCCUGGAGGUCUAUUGUUAACAUGGUGUUUUUCUUGUAAAUCAUUAAGACAGUUAGAAACUGGGCGCCUGGGUGGCUCAGUUGUUUGAGUGCCUGGCUCUUGAUUUUGGCUCAGGUCAUGAUGCCAGGGUCAUGGGACUGAUCCCUGCCUCGGGGUGCUGGCUGAGCAUGGAGCCUGCUUAAGAUUCUCUCUCCCUCUGCUCCUGUCCCCUGCUCACGCUCUCUUUCUUAAAAAACAAGCAAACAAAAAAGACAGUUACAAACCCUAGUGGAAGUUUCAUACCCAACAUGACUGUAAAUGAUGUUAUCUGCAUUUCCUUUUGCUUUUGUUUUCCACAUCAACUAACUAUUUCUUUUCUCCCUGCCUCUGUUCUCAGGCAGUCACCAGUACCUGAGGAAUAGUCUACACAUCCCACCCUAACUGGGGGAUGUUUGUAGCGUGUCUGCUCAGUGUAACUCCUCUCGCAUUCUGUACAACGCAGUUUCCCAGAGUCUAGAUUAGGAAAGUGAAUACAGUGGGGCGCCUGGGUGGCUCAGUUGGUUAAGUGUCUGACUUCAGCCUAGGUCAUGAUCUUGCUGUUCCCGAGUUUGAGCCCCAUGUCCAGCUCUGUGCUGACAGCUCAGAGUCUGGAGCCUAUUUCAGAUUCUGUGUCUUCCUCUCUCUCUACCCCUCCCCAACUCAUGUUCAGUUUCUCUCUCUCAAAAGUAAAUAAACAUUAAAAAAAUGAAUGCAGGUGCAACAGAAAUUAGCAUUAAACUUUUUACCCCCCUCCUUUUUUUUUUUUGUUUUUGUUUUGUUUUUUGUUUUUUGUUUUUUUGUUUUUUGCUUCAGCUAUACAGUUUCUUGCAAGGUAAGAAAGAAAUGCAAAGCCGUGUUAGGACAUAGGUUGUCAUGUGUUUUUGUCUUGAGCAAUGUAAAGUUAAAUUACUUACCUAAAAUAUUUUACAUGAGGGAAAGUUAAACACAGAAUAUCAGCCAUCAUGUUAAAUAAAAUAUGAGAUAGGACUAAAUAACAUUUUACAGAGACCUGGUUUACUCUUUAGAAGAGAAACACACUUCUACAAUGUAGAGAGUAACGACAUGCAGGAGGUUUUCCUAGUUGUUCCCCUUUUACCUUGCACUGAAACUGUAUUACAUCAUUUUGCUUUAAAAAAAUGGAAAUGGACUAGGUUAGGUAAUUAUUAAUUGGCAACAUGAUACUGAUAUAAAACUGCUUUUGGCCAGAGAUACGAUAAUGGUCAAUUUUGGCAACCUAGAUAAAGGGAGAAGUUAUUAUGUCCCCUUCCCAAAAUCAUUGUGCCAAUCUGUGUUCAGCUCACGAUCUCAAGUAUUUAAAACUUCCGUUUCUAUAAAUAUAAAUAGAAUAACCUUUUAAAAUAGGGUACAAAGUAUAAAUCCAUUUUUUUCUAAUUCAGCAAGCACAUGGGAUAUUCUCAUUUCUUUUCAGAAGACUACCUGUAGACACACAGAUAGACAUGGGGCACCAAGUUUGAAUGCUACCGGAACAAUUUCGUCACAAAUUAACAUUUUACCAAGUACUAAUAUACAUCAUGUCAAAAGAGGAAGUGCACACAGCUGAAAUCAAAACCGUUUUUAAAAUGCAAAUUAUCAGUGUGAUACAUUAUUUUGAACGAAGGAGAAACUGGCAAUAUAUGAAGUUGUGUGCUAUUAGAAGGCCUGUCCCCUUGCUUAAAACAAAUGAGAGAAAGUGACUUUGAAAGCUGGUUAGAUAUAUGUGAAGCUUUAAAAGAACUUAGAAAUACACUUUCUGAAUUUGGAAAAAACGGUAAGGUACUGGAAUACUUCUGUUUGGGGUGUAAAUAAAAUUUUGGAAUUUCAAAUAUGUUAGUACAUCUGUUUUUUCAACUACUUUAUAUAGAGUUAUAAGGAAAUGAAACAUUAAAAGGCAAUAGAAGCAUGUACAUAGGGGCCCCAUUUCCCCUUGGUGUGCUAAAAAAACUACAUUCAACCCUGUCAAUUUGAAGAUCUAAUUGGCUUUAUUAAACGGUUUGUGGGUGGGGGUACAUUGCAUCCGGCAAGAGAGGCUCCUCUGAGUGAAAUAGGAAAAGGUUUUUAAAGGCCAAAGGCGGGGAUUAAAAAGAAAAAGUGUACUAGCAAGGAAUGCGUGUUCAGGCAAAGUUGCCUCUGGGUGGAGGCUGGGGUCCAUCUGGACCUGCUCAGACUGCCCCGGAAGUUCCACUUUGGCCUCGCAGACUCCCGCGGUGGCUGUCCUUUGAGCGCCGGCGCCGAGUCCCCCUAAAGCGGCACUGCGAAGGCGGAGAGUGGCCCACGCGGGGACACCCUGGAGCGAGGCUCUGCGUUCCCUGCCUGAGAGGAGCCUCCAGGAGGCGGGGCGCAGCCCCUCCCCAGCCCAUAGCCGUCAGUGCGCGUGUCCCCGGUGGUCGCUCUCCAGGGUGCCCCGGCUGGCGCAAAGUGCACGCGCCCCCUGCUGGCCGCAGGGAGCAGCGCAGGGGCUCAGAGCUUCCCGUUUAGUGCUGCCUGGCACCCCUCCUGGUCUUCGUGGGUGUGGAUGUUAAUGAAAUGCACCCGCCGCUCCUGGCUUUGACUGCAAUGCACUCACAGACCAGGAAUCAAAGCAUAAAGUCAGCUUAUUAAGGCCAACUGCUUUCCCACCCACUAAUAAUUAACAGUUGGAAUUUGAACAUUUAAAAAUGCCAUUUUUAAUAGCCAUUUGGCAACCUUCAAAUUGAAGUUCCUUUGGCAUGAACCUAACGACGUAUGUAAAAAUCUGCAUUCAGUAACAUCAUAACCCUGCUGAAAGGUCGCAAAUAAAACGGAAAUGCGGAGAUGUUAGUUUUUCAUGAUCCACAGACUCAAUAUUCUUAAAAUGAGGAUUCUUCCUAAUUUGAUGUACAGAUUCAGCUAAGUCCCAAUCAAAAUGUGAGCAAAGGGAUGUGCUAGAAUACACAACAUAGGACUGAGGAACAAAGCUAAAGAACUCACACACCCACAUUCCAAGACUUACAUAAGUAUACAUAAUGAAGUGAGUGAUCUUGGCGAGGAGCUAGAUGCAGAUGAUGAAGUUUUGGGGUGAUGGUGGGGUGGUCCAGAGCCGAUGGCCAAGAAAGAAUUCCUGAAGAUGUCUUUGGUGCAAAAAGGCGAUUUUGUUAAAGCAUGGGGGCAGGACCCAUGGGCAGGAAGAGCUGUUUGGGGUCAUGAGGAGUAACUCAUUCUAUACCCUCAGGUUGGGAGGGGGGCAGGGAUAGAGUAAGUCUCUAAGGUAUAUUGGAAGCAAGGUUUCCAGGGCCUUGAGGGGCUAGCUGUUGCUAGGGAAAUGCCAUUUGUUACCGUUUAAUAAAACCCCAGUCAUGAGACCCUUCAAAUGUAUAUGGGGGGGGGGGGACAUACGCUUGGAGUAUGAUUGCCAGCAUAUAUCUUGGGGGACUUGAGAUAAAGAAAAUAGAGUUACAGGAGCCUCGAGGUUGGGAUCAUGUUAAGCUAAGGUUCUCUUUUGCCCCCAGCAAAGUCACUCUGCUGGUUCCAAGGACUUGUCAAUGGGCUGUAGGCAGUUAGGGAAUUUAAUUUUUCAUUUGCCUUAGUUUCCCACAUCAUUAUGGCAAACACCUAAACCCUUUUCCUUUGUUCUUGGGUAGGCAGGAGCGUCCUUGGAAUACCACGUAUUCCGUGUGUGUGUGUGUGUGUGUGUGUGUGCCCCAGCAUGUAUUUUGCCCUCAGCUUGCCCCAAGCUCCCUCAUCACAGAGCAAACAGGAACAAUGGGAGCCCCCCCAAAAGACCCAUAUGGGAAAAAGUGAACAUUUUAUACCAGCCUUACAAACUACACAAAAAUGUAUUCAAAGUUGUCAAUAGACUUAAAUUUAAAAUGCAAAACUGAAAAUUCUGGAGGAAACCACAGAAGAAAAGCUACAUGACCUUGGGUUUGGUGAUAUUUUUAUUUACAACAGCAAAAACCAAGCCAUGUAAGAAAAAAAUUGAUUACACGGAUUUUAAUAAAAUAAAAAAUGUCUACUCUGUA